rnacentral:lncRNA from 1 species
UGACCAAAAUAGCACCUUUCUAAGUUUAUCCUUUGAAAAUUUUAAUAUUUUUAUUUUUCAAAAUUUGAAAUCUUAUUCCCAAAACCUCAUUUCUCAACUCUAAACCCUAAACCCUAAACUCUAAACCCUAAACCCUAAACUCUAAACCCUAAACCCUAAAUCCUAAGCCCUAAACCCUAAACUCUAAACCAUAAACCCUAAAUUCUAUACCCUAAACCCUAAAAUUUAAACCCUAAACCCUAAACUCUAAACCCUAAACCUUAAAUCCUAAACCCCACCCUUUA